UCCUACGGGAGGCAGCAGUGGGGAAUUUUGGACAAUGGGCGAAAGCCUGAUCCAGCCAUACCGCGUGAGUGAAGAAGGCCUUCGGGUUGUAAAGCUCUUUCAGCCGGAAAGAAAACGUAUCCAUUAAUACUGGGUGCGGAUGACGGUACCGGAAGAAGAAGCACCGGCUAACUACGUGCCAGCAGCCGCGGUAAUA
rnacentral:rRNA from 1 species